rnacentral:lncRNA from 1 species
AUGGCCCCCAACCCACUGAUGCCACCAGACAGUGUGACCCUACAGGGGCCCUCAGCCACCAUCCCCCAGCCCAAUAGCAAGGUGCCCAUGUCAUCUCAUGUCCCUGAAUCGCCCCAUGGGCUGCAGGACAGGAUGGGCAGGCAGACGAUGCCAUCAGGCCGCUUGGUGGUGGCCCUGCAACGUCCCCUGGGUGAGAGGCAGCAGGCAGUGGGCAGCUGCCUGCAGCCUGGAGCAGGGCAGGGGCGGAGGGGUGGCCACUCUGUCACCUUCACACUAAGAGACCUGCCCCGGGCAGAGCCACCAAGUGGGGGAUGUCCUCCGCGUGGCACCCAGGUGGCCACAGUCAUCCUUAAGGAGAAAAUGACACAGACCGAGCCCUGCAUGGUGACUUUGUCACCUCACGUGAUUGAUGUGGGGACCCAACUGUCACAAGAUCCCUGUGCCACGCACCCCAUCUUCUGCACCCCAACACCACCACCGCCUCGCAGCACCAUCACCAACCCCAAACCGCCCCGCAGAGCUCUACGGCCCCUCGGGCAAAAAUCCAUUUCCCAACUCUCAGGGUACCAGGACCACACGGAGCAGGGCUCCUUGUCCUCGCAGCCCCCUCCAGCCCAGCCCAUCAGGGAGCAGAAUGAGCACCUGUGUGUGCUGCACCACAGGGCUGAGCAGCCGACACGCCAGAUCCCAGCACCAUCCCGGCCAUCACCUCCCACCAGCGACAUGGGCACCCAGGCCAGCACUGUGUCUGUGCACCCACACCCUGCUCCUGGGUUCCCCAAAGCCCCCUGUGCCUGUUGUCCCCAGCACUGCCCUACCAUCCCCUUGCCCUGGGAUGUCACCACCAGGGCUCUGCCCAAGCCAGGUCGCAGCUCAGCUUGGUGGCCCCUGCUGCACCCACAGCACACUGUCACCCCAGUGAUGGAGCCUGGCACUUCCAAGAGCAGCCCUGUGCAUGUGGAUGCCAUCUCAGAGGACACGACAGGUAGAGGUGGCUUCCGUGACAAUGUGACAGUGUGUGACAGAGCUCCUGCCACUGCUCUGCUGCAGGACAACAGCUCCAAGAACUUUAUCCAUGGAGCUGAUGGUGGGCGCAAGGUGGACAUGGAUCUGGCCACCGAAUUUAAUACCUACUUCAUGGGUGAGUUUGGGUGGUUGGGGUGA